rnacentral:tRNA from 1 species
GGAGAGAUGCCAGAGAGGUUGAAUGGGACGGUCUCGAAAACCGUUGUGCUCUUUGUGGGUACCGUGGGUUCGAAUCCCACUCUCUCCGCCA